UGAUAAUGAAACAUCUGAAAA
rnacentral:piRNA from 1 species